rnacentral:snRNA from 1 species
GUGAUCACUCUGGCGGCACAAACAAUAAAAUUGGAAAACUACAGAGAUCCGCACGGUCCCUGCACAGAGAGAACACACACAUUCAUGAAACUGUCCAUAAAAAA